AACGAACGCUGGCGGCAGGCUUAACACAUGCAAGUCGAGCGCCCCGCAAGGGGAGCGGCAGACGGGUGAGUAACGCGUGGGAAUCUACCGUACCCUACGGAAUAGCUCCGGGAAACUGGAAUUAAUACCGUAUACGCCCUACGGGGGAAAGAUUUAUCGGGGUAUGAUGAGCCCGCGUUGGAUUAGCUAGUUGGUGGGGUAAAGGCCUACCAAGGCGACGAUCCAUAGCUGGUCUGAGAGGAUGAUCAGCCACAUUGGGACUGAGACACGGCCCAAACUCCUACGGGAGGCAGCAGUGGGGAAUAUUGGACAAUGGGCGCAAGCCUGAUCCAGCCAUGCCGCGUGAGUGAUGAAGGUCUUAGGAUUGUAAAGCUCUUUCACCGAUGAAGAUAAUGACGGUAGUCGGAGAAGAAGCCCCGGCUAACUUCGUGCCAGCAGCCGCCGUAA
rnacentral:rRNA from 1 species